UACAGAGGCUUCGAGCGUUAUGCGGAAUCACUGGGCUUAAAGCGUGUGUAGGCGGACUUCUAAGUACCUUGUGAAAUCCCACGGCUCACCCGUGGAACUGCUGGGUAUACUGGUCGUCUUGAGUCUUCUAGGGGCUACCGGAACAAAUGGUGGAGCGGUGAAAUGCGUAGAUAUCAUUUGGAACGCCAAUGGUGAAAACAGGUAGCUGGGGAAGUGCUGACGCUAAGACACGAAAGCGAGGGGAGCGAACAGG
rnacentral:rRNA from 1 species